rnacentral:antisense_RNA from 1 species
CUUGAUGGUGGCUGUGCGCUUGGCGCCUUCGGGCGCGCCGGUUUGGGUGUGUCACCGGUCUACUAACCUGCGCACAGCCGCCACCCCU